rnacentral:rRNA from 1 species
UAUGUGAUCGUCUCUCGCAUAUCAAUAAGCGGAGGAAAAGAAACUAACAAGGAUUCCCCUUAGUAACGGCGAGUGAAGCGGGAAGAGUUCAAAUUUGAAAUCUUAAAGGGUUUCCCUUUACGAAUUGUAGUUUAAAGAAGUGUUUUCUGUUGAGGUUUUGGUAAAAGUUCUUUGGAAUAGGACAUCAUAGAGGGUGAGAAUCCCGUAUUUGACCUUUACUUUCAACUUUGUGAUACACUUUCAAAGAGUCGGAUUGUUUGGGAAUGCAGUCCGAAAUGGGUGGUAAAUUUCAUCUAAAGCUAAAUAUUGGCGAGAGGACCGAUAGCGAACAAGUACCGUGAGGGAAAGAUGAAAAGAACUUUGAAAAGAGAGUUAAACAGUACGUGAAAUUGUCAAAAGGGAAGCGUUUGACACCAGUGUUGUUUUUCUGAAAAUCAAUUAAAGAACUGUUUAUGCUAAGUUGUUUAGACUUUAUCAGCUAUCUGUUUAGUUUUGAGCUUUUCUUUAAUGCACUUUUCAGUUAACAAGUCAACAUCAAUUUCUUUUGCUGUAAAAAAGCUUGAGGAAGGUGGCUUGAGAUUCGUCUUAAGUGUUUAUAGCCUCUUGCCUAUGCAGUCGGAGAGAUUGAGGUCUGCAGCGUAGAUCCUUCGGGGCUAAAUGCAUUUGUGCUAAGUUAUAGCAUUUUAUAGACAACUUGUUGACUAUGAUUUGUCUUGUAGCUUACUCGCUUAUGUUAUUUUACCUACGCUUAGGAUGUUGAAGAUAUGCGCGACACG